UGCGUGAAAGUGAGCUCAGAUGUAACCUAAACCCAUGGAACUUGGAAAAAGAAGCAUCUGCCGAGAGGAGCGGGGUUGAUCUUGAUUUGCUUUCAGGGAGUUGCCACGGAGCAUCGUCUGCAGAGACCUGCAUUAUGUGAAGCAGCAUCUUCUUUCCCCUUGAUGUUGAAACUGGAUGAAGGAUCUUGUCAGGCUCACAGAUACCUAAAUCAUAUCAACAAGAAGUUUAUGGAAAAGAGAACUACAAUCAUCAUAAACCCAAUCAUGUUUUACUUGGUGUUGAAGGACAUUAAAAAAUACCUCCCACCUUAAUUUACUAAAUUAUCAAACAAAUCCUGUUCCCCGAUCUCAGAAGACCACCUGGCUCAGUAUCACAAAGCACCCUGAUUUCUCCCUCAUCUUGAGAUGUCAGGAUCCCUCAGAAAACUUCGUAGAGGUGCCCUAGAGAGAAUCAGAGCACCAGUGGAACAACAGCAGUGAGAAGCUCAUCAGCUUCACGAACUGACCACAGACCAAUCAGUGAAUUCCUGUCCUGCUUUCACUUUGCUUUCCGUGCUAUGUGGAAAUAAGAGCUCUCCUCAUGGGUCCAGUGUGAGGAACAGAUAGCAAGCACUGAUUGGGUGGAACCAGCCAAAGGGAUUGUCUCCUGGCUUGAUUCAGCUCUUCAGGCCCUGGAGAUGAAGUUCUGUGUCAGGCACCAAGCAUCUGUAUGCGGUAGGCAGCUGGAGGUCACUCUCUUGAUCACCUCUUGUGUGGACAAGUUUUCUUACAAGCAGAAGCCCAUCCCCAGGCAUCCUCUAGUGCUGACUGACGAGAUAGGAGCAAAACUCAUGCAACCUGCCUUUCAGAUGCAAAUAGAACAUUCCUAAGUCCUUUGAGGCACUCUGCCAAUGUGGCUCCUUCCAUUUUGUGGCUCUGCCGGUCUUCUUGAACACAUGGCUCCUGAGGCUGGGGUAGAGAAAGGUAUUCACGUGACCAGAUUCACGUCUGUCAGAUUUAGUUAACACACUUCAACAGUGCGACUAAAAGGAACUGCACCCAGAGCUUGCAAGCCAGUGCCCUGCUCAUCCCUGCACCAGGGUGGAGGAAUAGUCACCAAAGCUUCUGGUGGCUGCCCAAGUUCUUGGCUUGUGGCUGCAUCACUCCAGUCUCUGUGACCACAGGCCUUCUCUUGUGUCACCACGUUGCCUUCUGCUUCCCUAUUAUAAGAACACACCUGACUAUAUCUAGAGUUCACCCAGAUAAUCCAAGAUAAUCUCCCCAUCUCAUGAUCCUUAAUCGUAUCUUCAGAAUCCUUUUUAACAUAUAAGUUCUAGUUAGGUGAAAACAUAGCUCUCUAGUAGUUUGCUGCACAUUUCCUGUGAAAGUGAAGAUUCUCCUUUCUUAAUGAAGAGCAGCUCAUAUAUGAUGACAAAACAGAGGCAAGAGAGCAUAUGUUGGAGAACCUGGCGUUCUAUGUCAUGAGAGAAUGAACCAGAAUGGGGCAUAUGCUUCUAACCUGAAGACAAGACUGCAGAAUUGACUAUAUACACAGUCCUGUGUCACUUAAAGACAGGGAUACAUUCUGAGAAAUGCAUCAUGAGGCAGUUUCAUCAUUGUGCGAAUAUCAUGGAGUGUCCUUACACAAAGCUAGACGGUAUACACCUACUACAUACCUAGCCUCUAUGGUAUAGCCUGUUGAUCCUAGGUUACAAACCUGUACAGCAUGUUACUGUAUUCAAUACUGUAAGCAUUUAUGACACAAUGGCACGGUCUUCCCAUUUCCCAGAUGAAGAAACUGAAGCAAAAAGAUACAUCACUGGCUUAUCUGAUUAGACACAGCAGAGUAAGGCAUCUGCCCCAGGCAAUGGAGAAAUUGAAGCUCCAAAUGGCUAAGCAAUCUACCCAAGAUCACACAGCCAGAUUGGUGGCAUCUAAAAUUCGAACCCAGUCCUGAUGUGCUGAACUUCGCAUCUGGAUUUCUCAAAAUGCACAGAAAAUUAAAAGCAGGUUAUUGAAACCCAUUUUCUGGGUCCUGAAGGAUAACUGUUAGCCUUGGAUGAUCAGAAGGAGCAGCUAUGCACCUAUUAGGCUUUGUCAGCCUUGGCCACACUGGGUUAUGGGGAUUCCUAACCUCCUGAACACUACUCACUAGUUUGGUGAUUAUCUAUCUCCUUGAGAGAAGGCAAGUAUGGCCCAAUGGAAAUAGCACAGCCUUGGAGUCGGGACACCUGAGCAUCUUGCCUCAUUCUGCCAUGUACAAACUCUGUGGCCUCCAGCAAGUUCCUUUACCACUCUGAACCACAGUGUCCUCAUCUGCAGAGGGACGACAACCCCUAUUUGAUGAUUGUUGGGAGAAUUCAAGAUAAUGUAUGCAAACAACUUACCUACACUUGUACAUUCAACUAUCAUCUUCUUCAAAGAAGAAACUGUGGCAGGUGCUAUUCCACAACCCAUGUUUAUGUUCAAGCUUUGUUGGAUUCCUGUUUGGGAAUUUCCUUCCGAGGCGGGCGGUGUCACAUUCAUUUGAAGUCAGUCAAUAAUGACCCAGAUGUGGCACAUGAAACAGAGUUGGCCAGGAAAAAGAAGUCCCUGUAAAGCUCAUGUCAGAGAGAGAGAGAGAAGGAAGAAGCAUGGAUGGGCCUUAAAGAUAUUCUAGGAAGAUGUGGCCAAGGAGAAACAACUUCCUAUUCCUAUCCUGUAGCCUGCCAAGCCUGAGAAGCUACCUCCCUGAAAAUCUUCCUAGGACUCCUCAGCUUCCUCAAUGCUACCAAAUACCCACUAUCUCCAUAGACACACACAAAUGACAGAAGUAAAAGGAGCCACGAAGAUGAUGGAAGUCGGUUACCACAUCGUCCCUAACUGUAGGGAAUGGGUAUAAUAACACAUCUGCCUCUUCAAAUUGUGGUGAAGAUGAAAACAGUGCAUGUUUUAGGCUGAACUACCUGAAAUUACCAGGGUUUUAUAGAGAAUGAUUGGCCUGGAGCAAGCAUAGAAGCAGAGAGGUGCAUAAGGAGGCUAUUGCAACAGCUCAGCUGAGAAAUAGUGUAGGCAGAGCCCAGGGCAGCAGCAGUGUGCCUGAAGAGGAGUGGAUGAAAAUGAACUAUUUCCAAGUCCUCCUGGGACUCCAGUAAGACAAGUCUUGCCUUUCAUGUGGACUCAUACAAUGGUGCUCACAUUGGCGGAGUAAGAAGCACUGCACAGAAAUAGCUCAUUGGCAGAAUUGCGCUCUCAAGGAUGGAUAUCUUCAAGCCAUCCUUGACCCUCUAGAGCAGAAAGACAAACAAGUGUAAUGCUGAGGAAUGGGAAAAAUGUUUAAUUGCAAGCAGAAGAAUCUCACGUGAAAUUUUUACAAAUGAGGAAACGGAAGCACAAAAAGGCUGUGCUAAGGUCAAGCAGAUCAUACUGCCUAACAGGAUUUUGGCACCAUUGGUAGUCACUUUGACAUGUCAAUAAUGAUAAUUGCAAAGAAGACUGUUGUUCCAAGUAAUGGAUAACACAGCAUCUGAACCUACCUGGAUACUUUUUCAAUAUCUAAAGAAUUAUGUUGUAUAAAAAGAUGCUCGAAGCCCAGAAAAAAUAAAAGAUGAGCACUUCUGGAAAUUACUAUCUUAAACUUGUUCUGCAGAAUUACUCCAUUUUUGUCCUCUGUUAACAUUUUAAGAAGAUUCCAGUUCUUUUUGGACCUUUUUAGUUGUAAUGGAGCCCAGCCCAUGCCUUUGAGGCAGGGAGCAGGGAAAUGGUGAAAGUCAAGUGACUCUUAGCUUGCGCUGUUGUCAUCCUCUCUGGACUAUUGCUACAUUUCUAGACUACUCUCAUUCUCAGCCCACGUAGGAAAUCAGAAGAUAAUUUAAAAUUAAAUAAUGAUGGCUCAGAGCUUAAAGCACUUAAAAAAGAGAAGAAAGAAAAGCAUCACAUCUUGACAGUGCUGGGAGUGAUGGUGGAAAGCUUGCCAAGGAGGCCCGGAAGAGUGGUUGGAAAGACCAUUAUUCAUAACAAAAACCAACUCAAAAUGGAUUAACGACUUAAACAUAAGGCUGGAAAUGGUAAAACUCCUUGAAGAAAACAUAGGAAAACGUGUCUUGACAUUGGUCUGGGCAACAAAUUUUUUUGGAUAUGACGACAAAAGCACAGUUUACCAUGGAAUAAAGUUGGUGUUCAGUGAAUAGAUGCUGAAAAAAGUAAAAUUUGCCUCUAGAGAUGUCAUCACUACUUCCUGUGAGAUACAAAGUUUUGUUACUAAAGAGAACAAUAACAAAAAUAAACAACAGUAACAAAGUGGAUUUGAAAAGAAACUUUCCUCUCAAGAAAAAAAGGAAAAAAGACAGGCUUAGUGUAAAAAUGGAAAGACCCUUGACUAAAACUGACAUUUAAAGACCAGAUUGGAGGGAUAAGAAAGCAAAAGAGGAAAAUCAGAUACUCAAGCUUUCUGAACUCAGAAAGGAAAAAAGCAGAGGAGACAGAUCAAAGAAUCAAAACUCCAUUAAGGGCAACAACUGGAAAGUAAAGGGAUGAGGGUGUCCCUGCAAGAUACAGAAGCAUUUUGAUUUAGCUGUAGAAACAGAGGAAGGUCACACAAAAACAGAGGGGAGGCUACAUGAAAACUACCCUCUGUUACUCAGGAGAGAAGCUAGGAUUGACAUUCAGUUUUUUUCUCACUCUCCAUUCAGAGAACUGCUCUCUAGAUUAUUCACCUCUUGAUAUUUACCCAUAAACUUGAUAACCAGAUUAGAAUAAUGCCUGCUCAUGAAGGAUUCGUGCUAUGACAACUCAGCCACCUUGCGUUUUCUAGCUACUGUCAUGUACCUUUAUACCCCUUAAACCUGACCUUGAAACCAAAAAAAAAAAAAAAAAAAAA
rnacentral:lncRNA from 1 species